CUAUCCCCCAGCAUCUCACCCAACAGCCCUGACGGAGGGGAGGGAGGAGAGAGAGAGGGGUGCUCCUGGGGAGGAGGGAGAAAGGAGGGGGUGCUCCGUGGGACGGGGGGGAGAAGAAUGGAUGUUAUGGGGGACAACAAAGGAUACUGGUUCCAGAGCCACAGAGCCUGCCUCGCCUCACCUCACCUCAGCCGGGGGGAAAGAGUCACACUCACAGAAUAUGUAUUGUGUGUGUGCAUGGGAGAGAGAGAGGGGGAAGGACGGAGCAAGUGAAAAAAAAUAUCCUGGCUCCAUUGAUAUCAGUGCAUCUUGGCUUUUGCAAGAUAAGUUCAGAGAAGGAUGCAUUAAUAUCCCAGUGAAUGAUUAAUGGUGCUCCUUUUAAUCCAGGCCAAAAAAAAAAAAAAAAAAAAAAACUCUCCAUGUCUAAAUUCUUUUUGUGUGUGGGGGUGUGUG